CUUGCUGGAGUACUCGAGUGGCGAACGGGUGAGUAACACGUGGGUAAUCUGCCCUGCACUCUGGGAUAAGCCUGGGAAACUGGGUCUAAUACUGGAUAUGACCUUUCUCCUUAUGGGGUUUGGUGGAAAGUUUUUCGGUGUAGGAUGAGCCCGCGGCCUAUCAGCUUGUUGGUGGGGUGAUGGCCUACCAAGGCGACGACGGGUAGCCGGCCUGAGAGGGUGAUCGGCCACAUUGGGACUGAGAUACGGCCCAGACUCCUACGGGAGGCAGCCGUGGGGAAUAUUGCACAAUGGGCGGAAGCCUGAUGCAGCGACGCCGCGUGAGGGAUGACGGCCUUCGGGUUGUAAACCUCUUUCAGCAGGGACGAAGCGUAAGUGACGGUACCUGCAGAAGAAGCACCGGCUAACUA
rnacentral:rRNA from 1 species